ACGUAGGGAGCAAGCGUUGUCCGGAUUUACUGGGCGUAAAGAGCGCGUAGGCGGAAGCUUAAGUGUGGCCUGAAAGCCCCCGGCUCAACCGGGGAGGGUGGCUGCAAACUGGGCUUCUAGAGGGGGAUAGAGGAAAGUGGAAUUCCGGGUGUAGCGGUGGAAUGCGUAGAGAUCCGGAAGAACACCUGAGGCGAAGGCGGCUUGCUGGGCAUGAUCUGACGCUGAGGCGCGAAAGCGUGGGGAGCAAACAGGA
rnacentral:rRNA from 1 species